UACGAAGGGGGCUAGCGUUGCUCGGAAUUACUGGGCGUAAAGCGUGCGUAGACGGUUAUGUAAGUCGGGUGUGAAAGCCCCGGGCUCAACCUGGGAAUGCCAUUCGAGACUGCAUAGCUAGGGUGCGGAAGAGGGAAGCGGAAUUUCCGGUGUAGCGGUGAAAUGCGUAGAUAUCGGAAGGAACACCAGUGGCGAAAGCGGCUUCCUGGUCCAGCACCGACGUCAGGCACGAAAGCGUGGGGAGCAAACAGG
rnacentral:rRNA from 1 species